rnacentral:tRNA from 1 species
GGGGUUGUAGCUCAGUGGUAGAGCUCCUGUUUAGCAUAUGUGAGGUGCUGAGUUUGAUUCUCAGCACUACA